CUGGCUCAGGAUGAACGCUGGCGGCAGGCUUAAUACAUGCAAGUCGAACGGUAACGACCGGUAGCAAUACUGGGGCGACGAGUGGCGCACGGGUGCGUAACGCGUAUGCAACCUACCCUCAACCGGGGCAUAACGCCGAGAAAUUGGCGCUAAUAUCCCAUGUGUAUAAGGAGCGGCAUCGCUAUUUAUAUAAAGAUCCGUUGGUUAAGGAUGGGCAUGCGUAACAUUAGCUAGUUGGCGGGGUAACGGCCCACCAAGGCGACGAUGUUUAGGGGUUCUGAGAGGAUUCACCCCCACACUGGAACUGAGACACGGUCCAGACUCCUACGGGAGGCAGCAGUAGGGAAUAUUGGGCAAUGGAGGCAACUCUGACCCAGCCAUGCCCGCGUGAAGGAAGACGGCCCUAUGGGUUGUAAACUUCUUUUGCCGCAGAGUAACCCGGGGACGCGUCCCCGCUGAGAGUAUGCGGCGAAUAAGUAUCGGCUAACUCCGUGCCAGCCGCCGC
rnacentral:rRNA from 1 species